rnacentral:rRNA from 1 species
CGCCCGUCGCUCCUACCGAUUGGACGUGCUGGUGAGGUGUUCGGAUUGGCGACAGGUGGCGGUUUCCGCCCUCUGUUGUCGAGAAGUUCAUCAAACCCUUCCGUCUAGAGGAAGGAGAAGUCGUAACAAGGUUUCC